ACCUAGGUAGCUCAAUGGUUGAGCAUCUGUCUUUGGCUCAGGUCCUAGGUU
rnacentral:tRNA from 1 species